rnacentral:rRNA from 1 species
GUGAGGAAUAUUGGUCAAUGGAGGCAACUCUGAACCAGCCAUGCCGCGUGCAGGAAGACGGUCCUAUGGAUUGUAAACUGCUUUUAUUUAGGAAUAAACCCCCGGUCGUGCACCGGGGCUGAAUGUACUAAAAGAAUAAGCACCGGCUAACUCCGUGCCAGCAGCCGCGGUAAUACGGAGGGUGCAAGCGUUAUCCGGAAUCAUUGGGUUUAAAGGGUCCGCAGGCGGGUAAAUAAGUCAGAGGUGAAAUCCGGCAGCUCAACUGUCGCACUGCCUUUGAUACUGUUUAUCUUGAAUUUUAGUGGAGUGGGCGGAAUAUGUCAUGUAGCGGUGAAAUGCUUAGAUAUGACGUGGAACACCGAUAGCGAAGGCAGCUCACUAACUAUGAAUUGACGCUCAUGGACGAAAGCGUGGGUAGCAAACAGGAUUAGAUACCCUUGUAGUCC